rnacentral:rRNA from 1 species
AGAGUUUGAUCCUGGCUCAGAAUCAACGCUGGCGGCGUGCCUAACACAUGCAAGUCGAACGAGAAAGUGGAGCAAUCCAUGAGUACAGUGGCGCACGGGUGAGUAACACGUGACUAACCUACCCUUGAGUGGGGGAUAACCUAGAGAAAUCUGGGCUAAUACCGCAUAAUACCUUCGGGUCAAAGGAGCAAUUCGCUUAAGGGAAGGGGGUCGCGGCCGAUUAGCUAGUUGGUGAGGUAAUGGCCCACCAAGGCUUAGAUCGGUAGCCGGCCUGAGAGGGCACACGGCCACACUGGCACUGAAACACGGGCCAGACUCCUACGGGAGGCAGCAGUGGGGAAUCUUGCACAAUGGGGGAAACCCUGAUGCAGCGACGCCGCGUGAGCGAUGAAGCCCUUCGGGGUGUAAAGCUCUUUCGGCAGGGAAGAUUAUGACGGU